rnacentral:rRNA from 1 species
UACAUACUGUGCGAACGUUAUUCGGAAUCACUGGGCUUAAAGGGUGCGUAGGCGGCGAUUCAAGUCAGAUGUGAAAUGCCUGAGCUCAACUGAGGCAUUGCGUUUGAAACUGGAUUGCUGGAGUGUCCCAGGGGUGUGCGGAACUGCCAGUGGAGCGGUGAAAUGUGUUGAUAUUGGCAGGAACACCGGAGGCGAAAGCGGCACACUGGGGGAUAACUGACGCUGAGGCACGAAAGCCAGGGGAGCGAACGGGAUUAGAUACCCCGGUAGUCCUGGCUGUAAACGAUGAGCACUGGGCGGGAGGAAGUUCGCUUCUUUCUGCCGUAGCGAAAGCGUUAAGUGCUCCGCCUGGGGAGUAUGGUCGCAAGGCUG